UCAGCUGGUUUCUUAGAAAUCAGCUGCCAGGGCUGUCAGCUGCAGCCUGGACUUCCUCCCUCACCUGACGGCCUCCUCCCCGGGUGGGUGCCAUGCUGUCGACAGAGACGGGAGCAGAGGCCCGUGCUGGAGUUGAGGGGAGCCCCCGGAAAGCUCAGGGGUCAUGCCUUCAUCCCUUCCUGUGUGCCGUGUGCCAGGUGCCAGGGGAAGAGAGAAAUCCGAGUCCAUCAGAGAGUUAGGAGAAAAAGGACUCAGAGGCCCCCAGUUAGCCGUUGUGCCCACUGGAUCAAAAGAGUGGCAGAGAAGGAGCACCAGACAGGGCCCUGAUGCAUUGUGUGAGCCCCUGCAUCCAGCCAUGCCUGAAAUCCACCUCUGGACUUACCUGUUACACAUACCACAAGUUUCCUCUUUUGCUGACGUCUGCCCUCAAGGAAAGCUGGAAUGUGGGCAUUUUCACACCUCCUGAUUCAUGGUUGUUAAUAACUGACUUGUUUUGCGCUGGAAAAAAAAAAUUCCACAUUAAAAAAAAUUUUCCUUCCCA